rnacentral:rRNA from 1 species
AUUGAACGCUGGCGGCAGGCCUAACACAUGCAAGUCGAACGAGUGGCGGACGGGUGAGUAAUGUCUGGGAAACUACCUGAUGGAGGGGGAUAACUACUGGAAACGGUAGCUAAUACCGCAUACCAUCGGAUGAGCCCAGAUGGGAUUAGCUGGUUGGUGGGGUAAAGGCUCACCAAGGCGACGAUCCCUAGCUGGUCUGAGAGGAUGACCAGCCACACUGGAACUGAGACACGGUCCAGACUCCUACGGGAGGCAGCAGGGGGGAAUAUUGCACAAUGGGGGCAAGCCUGAGGCAGCCAUGCCGCGUGUAUGAAGAAGGCCUUCGGGUUGUAAAGUACUUUCAGCGGGGAGGCGUUACCCACAGAAGAAGCACCGGCUAACUCCGUGCCAGCCGCCGCGGUAAUAC